UACGGAGGGGGCAAGCGUUGUUCGGAAUUAUUGGGCGUAAAGGGCGCGUAGGCGGCCGGCCAAGUCGGGUGUGAAAUCCCUCGGCUCAACCGAGGAACUGCACUCGAUACUGGUUGGCUAGAGUCCGGGAGGGGAUGGUGGAAUUCCCAGUGUAGCGGUGAAAUGCGUAGAUAUUGGGAAGAACACCGGUGGCGAAGGCGGCCAUCUGGACCGGCACUGACGCUGAGGCGCGAAAGCCAGGGGAGCGAAU
rnacentral:rRNA from 1 species